UGGCGAACGGGUGAGUAACACGUGGGUGAUCUGCCCUGCACUUCGGGAUAAGCUUGGGAAACUGGGUCUAAUACCGGAUAGGAGCCAUCUUUAGUGUGGUGGUUGGAGAGUUUUUUCGGUGUAGGAUGAGCUCGCGGCCUAUCAGCUUGUUGGUGGGGUAAUGGCCUACCAAGGCGGCGACGGGUAGCCGGCCUGAGAGGGUGUACGGCCACAUUGGGACUGAGAUACGGCCCAG
rnacentral:rRNA from 1 species